GGAAAGUUGCCAGAGAGGUCGAAUGGGGCGGACUCGAAAUCCGCUAUACGGUUUUACUGUAUCGGGGGUUCGAAUCCCUCACUUUCCG
rnacentral:tRNA from 1 species